rnacentral:rRNA from 1 species
UACGUAGGGGGCAAGCGUUGUCCGGAUUUAUUGGGCGUAAAGAGCGUGUAGGCGGCCAAGUAAGUCUGCUGUGAAAACUCGAGGCUUAACCUCGAGCUGUCGGCGGAAACUAUUUGGCUAGAGUCCGGAAGAGGAGAAUGGAAUUCCCGGUGUAGCGGUGAAAUGCGCAGAUAUCAGGAAGAACACCCGUGGCUAAGGCGGCUCUCUAGUACGGUACUGACGCUGAGACGCGAAAGCGUGGGGAGCGAACAGG